UACGGAGGGAGCUAGCGUUAUUCGGAAUUACUGGGCGUAAAGCGCACGUAGGCGGCUUUGUAAGUUAGAGGUGAAAGCCUGGAGCUCAACUCCAGAAUUGCCUUUAAGACUGCAUCGCUUGAAUCCAGGAGAGGUGAGUGGAAUUCCGAGUGUAGAGGUGAAAUUCGUAGAUAUUCGGAGGAACACCAGUGGCGAAGGCGGCUCACUGGCUCGAUACUGACGCUGAGGUGCGAAAGCGGUGGGGAGCAAACAGG
rnacentral:rRNA from 1 species